UACAAGCUGUUCAGAACAGAAUCUGCUCCGAAUUUUCACCAAUUUCCUGAAGAUAUGUUACACACCAACUGCAAGAAAAAUAUGUGCCUACGGGUGUGUGUCGAGUUGCAGAAUAUUACUGUCGUCCUGAGUUAAAGGUUUAGAUACAAGCAUUCCUCGUUACGUUAAAUGUCGGGUGGAAGCAAGGAGCAUAUAUGAUUAUUUUGGCAUAAUUUGUAAGUGUGUUUCUAGGAGGCUUUCACCAAACAGAGUCCAGAGCCAAACUUCUCAUUAAGUCGCUUCUUGAGACGAUGGAAUUCCUAAUUGCUGAAUUUUGAGCAUUGAAGCAAGAGCAUCUAUUAUUAUUUUUGGCAUAAUUGGAGGAAGUUUUGACUCAACUGGAGGAAAAUUUGUUGCGACUGGUAUUAUUUGCAGACUCCGAAUGUGAGAGUAAUUGAGGCACUUAAUUUUUUUGAAGUUCAUGCAUGGUCUUAAUGCUGGGCAAGAAAUUCGACCAGAAGAGAUUCAGUUGUGGUGGUUUGAGGAUUUCUGGUGGGCCUCUAUACCUGCCAAUUAUUUUGGUGUCCCAAGUUGUAAAGAGAGAUGAAUGUCAAGUAUUUUAGAUUUCAUGACCCAAGCUGGUGGUUUCUUCUGCGGCAAAUAUCAGACUAUUUUCCUGUGGUUAGCAGGAAAACCCACGACUCGAGUCUUCCUUGGUGGCAACUGCCAAGUCAAGCUGAUCAACUUGUUCAGAUACUGUCUCCCACAGGUUCCCUUUCAGAUAACAGAUGCUUUCGGUUCGGAGUGUCCUUCAAAGUGCUGCAUGGAGAGCAAACCAAUGAUCAAGAUUUCCGUCAUUAUUUUGGUACCAGCCUUUUGAUGGCAUUGUUGACAUUAGAUACAAGAUCAGAUUUUGGGGAUUAGGCAUAGAAUUAAAUUGAUUUUUCAUUGCAGUCCAAGUUGAUGUUCAAGCAGGUAGCUCUUUGUCUCCAGCUAGCUCUUUAACGACUCUUCAAGAACGCCUAAGCCAAUGGACAGGCCACGAUGAGACCUAUAGAGCAAGUCAAGGAGACCCAGUUCCCCAUUUUAAGGAGCUUCAAUUCCAUGCUUUAAGGGAUGAAGUUCCUUGACUUCCUUCACUUGAUCACUCCCCAUAAAAGAAACUCGCUACCUAUUCAAUGGGAUUAGAGGACUAUUUUCCACCCACUUUUUAGUUUUUACUCGACUUUGUCGCUGCAGUUUACUACAGCCAAACUCUAUAAUGUAAACCAUAUUUCUGCAUAGUGAAACACUGAAACUAAUAACAAGCGUGACGAAGCCUUAGGCUUAAACUCUAUACUCGAAAUGAAUCCGGUGAACAUGUAUCUAAUGUGUUCUUGGAUUUUCAGUUUUCACUGCUAA